CCUACGGGAGGCAGCAGUGAGGAAUAUUGGUCAAUGGGCGCGAGCCUGAACCAGCCAAGUAGCGUGAAGGAUGACUGCCCUACGGGUUGUAAACUUCUUUUAUAAAGGAAUAAAGUGAGGCACGUGUGCCUCUUUGUAUGUACUUUAUGAAUAAGGAUCGGCUAACUCCGUGCCAGCAGCCGCGGUAAUACGGAGGAUCCGAGCGUUAUCCGGAUUUAUUGGGUGUAAAGGGAGCGUAGAUGGGUUGUUAAGUCAGUUGUGAAAGUUUGGGGCUCAACCGGAAAAUUGCAAUUGAUACUGGCAGACUGGAGUGUAGUUGAGGUAGGUGUAAUUCGUGGUGUAGCAGUGAAAUGCGUAGAUAUCACGAAGAACUCCGGUUGCGAAGGCGACUUACUAGAC
rnacentral:rRNA from 1 species